AGCAAUGUAGCUUAAAUGGUAGAGCGGGUCUGACAAAGGCUGCGGGGUGGUUCGAUUCCACACUUUGCUA
rnacentral:tRNA from 1 species